AUUGAACGCGGGCGGCAUGCCUAACACAUGCAAGUCGAACGGCAGCAUGAAAUGGGUAACCAUUUUGAUGGCGAGUGGCGGACGGGUGAGUAAUACGUAGGAAUCUACCUAGAGGUAGGGGAUAACUUAGGGAAACUUAAGCUAAUACCAUAUAAGCCCCAAGGGGGAAAGCAGGGGAUCUUCGGACCUUGCGCCUUAUGAUGAGCCUACGUCGGAUUAGCUUGUUGGUGGGGUAAGGGCCUACCAAGGCGACGAUCUGUAGCGGGUCUGAGAGGAUGAUCCGCCACACUGGGACUGAGACACGGCCCAGACUCCUACGGGAGGCAGCAGUGGGGAAUAUUGGACAAUGGGGGGAACCCUGAUUCAGCCAUGCCGCGUGUGUGAGGAAGGUCUUCGGAUCGUAAAGCUCUGUUGUAAGAGAAAAACGACAUUCAUAGGGAAUGAUGAGUGAGUGAUGGUAUCUUACCAGAAAGUCACGGCUAACUACGUGCCAGCCGCCGCGGUAA
rnacentral:rRNA from 1 species